UCAAGUGAAGAAGCGCAUACGGUGGAUGCCUUGGCAGUCAGAGGCGAUGAAAGACGUGGUAGCCUGCGAAAAGCUUCGGGGAGUCGGCAAACAGACUUUGAUCCGGAGAUCUCUGAAUGGGGGAACCCACCUAGGAUAACCUAGGUAUCUUGUACUGAAUCCAUAGGUGCAAGAGGCGAACCAGGGGAACUGAAACAUCUAAGUACCCUGAGGAAAAGAAAUCAACCGAGAUUCCCUUAGUAGUGGCGAGCGAACGGGGAUUAGCCCUUAAGCUUCAUUGAUUUUAGCGGAACGCUCUGGAAAGUGCGGCCAUAGUGGGUGAUAGCCCCGUACGCGAAAGGAUCUUUGAAGUGAAAUCGAGUAGGACGGAGCACGAGAAACUUUGUCUGAACAUGGGGGGACCAUCCUCCAAGGCUAAAUACUACUGACUGACCGAUAGUGAACCAGUACCGUGAGGGAAAGGCGAAAAGAACCCCGGAGAGGGGAGUGAAAUAGAACCUGAAACCGUAUGCGUACAAGCAGUGGGAGCCUACUUGUUAGGUGACUGCGUACCUUUUGUAUAAUGGGUCAGCGACUUAUAUUCAGUGGCAAGCUUAACCGUAUAGGGUAGGCGUAGCGAAAGCGAGUCUUAAUAGGGCGUUUAGUCGCUGGGUAUAGACCCGAAACCGGGCGAUCUAUCCAUGAGCAGGUUGAAGGUUAGGUAACACUGACUGGAGGACCGAACCCACUCCCGGUUGAAAAGGUAGGGGAUGACUUGUGGAUCGGAGUGAAAGGCUAAUCAAGCUCGGAGAUAGCUGGUUCUCCUCGAAAGCUAUUUAGGUAGCGCCUCAUGUAUCACUCUGGGGGGUAGAGCACUGUUUCGGCUAGGGGGUCAUCCCGACUUACCAAACCGAUGCAAACUCCGAAUACCCAGAAGUGCCGAGCAUGGGAGACACACGGCGGGUGCUAACGUCCGUCGUGAAAAGGGAAACAACCCAGACCGCCAGCUAAGGUCCCAAAGUUGUGGUUAAGUGGUAAACGAUGUGGGAAGGCUUAGACAGCUAGGAGGUUGGCUUAGAAGCAGCCAUCCUUUAAAGAAAGCGUAAUAGCUCACUAGUCGAGUCGGCCUGCGCGGAAGAUGUAACGGGGCUCAAACCACACACCGAAGCUGCGGGUGUCACGUAAGUGACGCGGUAGAGGAGCGUUCUGUAAGCCUGUGAAGGUGAGUUGAGAAGCUUGCUGGAGGUAUCAGAAGUGCGAAUGCUGACAUGAGUAACGACAAUGGGUGUGAAAAACACCCACGCCGAAAGACCAAGGGUUCCUGCGCAACGUUAAUCGACGCAGGGUUAGUCGGUUCCUAAGGCGAGGCUGAAAAGCGUAGUCGAUGGGAAACAGGUUAAUAUUCCUGUACUUCUGGUUACUGCGAUGGAGGGACGGAGAAGGCUAGGCCAGCUUGGCGUUGGUUGUCCAAGUUUAAGGUGGUAGGCUGAAAUCUUAGGUAAAUCCGGGGUUUCAAGGCCGAGAGCUGAUGACGAGUCGUCUUUUAGAUGACGAAGUGGUUGAUGCCAUGCUUCCAAGAAAAGCUUCUAAGCUUCAGGUAACCAGGAACCGUACCCCAAACCGACACAGGUGGUCGGGUAGAGAAUACCAAGGCGCUUGAGAGAACUCGGGUGAAGGAACUAGGCAAAAUGGCACCGUAACUUCGGGAGAAGGUGCGCCGGCUAGGGUGAAGGAUUUACUCCGUAAGCUCUGGCUGGUCGAAGAUACCAGGCCGCUGCGACUGUUUAUUAAAAACACAGCACUCUGCAAACACGAAAGUGGACGUAUAGGGUGUGACGCCUGCCCGGUGNNNNNNNNNNUGUCUUUUAGAUGACGAAGUGGUUGAUGCCAUGCUUCCAAGAAAAGCUUCUAAGCUUCAGGUAACCAGGAACCGUACCCCAAACCGACACAGGUGGUCGGGUAGAGAAUACCAAGGCGCUUGAGAGAACUCGGGUGAAGGAACUAGGCAAAAUGGCACCGUAACUUCGGGAGAAGGUGCGCCGGCUAGGGUGAAGGAUUUACUCCGUAAGCCCUGGCUGGUCGAAGAUACCAGGCCGCUGCGACUGUUUAUUAAAAACACAGCACUCUGCAAACACGAAAGUGGACGUAUAGGGUGUGACGCCUGCCCGGUGCCGGAAGGUUAAUUGAUGGGGUUAGCGCAAGCGAAGCUCUUGAUCGAAGCCCCGGUAAACGGCGGCCGUAACUAUAACGGUCCUAAGGUAGCGAAAUUCCUUGUCGGGUAAGUUCCGACCUGCACGAAUGGCGUAACGAUGGCGGCGCUGUCUCCACCCGAGACUCAGUGAAAUUGAAAUCGCUGUGAAGAUGCAGUGUAUCCGCGGCUAGACGGAAAGACCCCGUGAACCUUUACUGUAGCUUUGCACUGGACUUUGAGCCUGCUUGUGUAGGAUAGGUGGGAGGCUUUGAAGCGUGGACGCCAGUUCGCGUGGAGCCAUCCUUGAAAUACCACCCUGGCAUGCUUGAGGUUCUAACUCUGGUCCGUGAUCCGGAUCGAGGACAGUGUAUGGUGGGCAGUUUGACUGGGGCGGUCUCCUCCUAAAGAGUAACGGAGGAGUACGAAGGUGCGCUCAGACCGGUCGGAAAUCGGUCGCAGAGUAUAAAGGCAAAAGCGCGCUUGACUGCGAGACAGACACGUCGAGCAGGUACGAAAGUAGGUCUUAGUGAUCCGGUGGUUCUGUAUGGAAGGGCCAUCGCUCAACGGAUAAAAGGUACUCCGGGGAUAACAGGCUGAUACCGCCCAAGAGUUCAUAUCGACGGCGGUGUUUGGCACCUCGAUGUCGGCUCAUCACAUCCUGGGGCUGAAGCCGGUCCCAAGGGUAUGGCUGUUCGCCAUUUAAAGUGGUACGCGAGCUGGGUUUAGAACGUCGUGAGACAGUUCGGUCCCUAUCUGCCGUGGACGUUUGAGAUUUGAGAGGGGCUGCUCCUAGUACGAGAGGACCGGAGUGGACGAACCUCUGGUGUUCCGGUUGUCACGCCAGUGGCAUUGCCGGGUAGCUAUGUUCGGAAAAGAUAACCGCUGAAAGCAUCUAAGCGGGAAACUUGCCUCAAGAUGAGAUCUCACUGGGAACUUGAUUCCCCUGAAGGGCCGUCGAAGACUACGACGUUGAUAGGCUGGGUGUGUAAGCGUUGUGAGGCGUUGAGCUAACCAGUACUAAUUGCCCGUGAGGCUUGACCAU
rnacentral:rRNA from 1 species